AAGCGCCUCCUCACAGUUCACAGUCAGUGUCAACGUCACCGUCAUUCUCCUUUCCACGCCCCCCUCGCUCGCUGAAGCGUGGCCAAGCGAGAGAAGGCGGGAGGGGGGGGGGAAGGUCGGUUGGGCUCGGAUCUAAAAAACACGCCGAGAGGGGAGGGAUUAAGAGCUGAUCUGUCAGGAGGCGAGUUGUUGCUCGCUUUUAACCUAGGGUUACGAUGUUAGCGGGCCAUUUCUUCUCGUUUCGAAUGCGCUCUGAAAUCAAAAGACAAAGGUUGGCCUGUGCGUGUCAAAGCCGGACAUGUUGCAUGUUCCCUAGCUGGUCAUUGGGAAAUGUAACCACAAAGGAAAAUGAGGAAAGCCUUCAAAUUGUUAAGAAGAAAGGAAUAAGAAAGAAUAACUGGGAAGCUCAAACCUUAAUUUAUAAUUUGGCAUAGCAAUUAAGGCACCAGAUUGAAAUUCAGGAGACUGAGUUCUAGUCUCUUUAGACAUGAAGGCUGGAUGGGUGACUUUCAAGAAUUUCAACUUUUGUAGCAUCUAAUGCUUUGUGCACUCCCCCUCCCCUCAUGGAGGUUUGGCUAUAUCCACAGGACUGUUACUAUGAAAUAAUCCAGGAAUUAUACUUGUGCAACAGCACUACUUAGCUGGUGGUUUCUCAUCAGGCAGAAUGCCUUUUUCCUCCUAAACAUUGUUGGAGAAAGAGAGCAUUCUAAUAAAUGGAUGAAUUCUUAACAUA